GUGAAGAACGCAGUGAAAUGCGAUAAGUAAUGUGAAUUGCAGAAUUCAGUGAAUCAUCGAAUCUUUGAACGCACAUUGCGCCCUUUGGUAUUCCGAAGGGCAUGCCUGUUCGAGCGUCAUUAUCACCCCUCAAGCCCUCGGCUUGGUGUUGGACGGUUUGGUGGAGGCCCCCUCGGGGGCUCCUGCCCCUCCCAAAGACAAUGACGGCGGCCUCGUUGGACCCCCGGUACACUGAGUUCUUCACGGGACACGUAUCGGACACAUGGGUUUACGGGACACGGUCUGCCUCCCCUCAGGGAGAAUCUUUCUAAGGUUGACCUCGGAUCAGGUAGGGAUACCCGCUGAACUUAAGCAUAUCAAUAAGCGGAGGA
rnacentral:misc_RNA from 1 species